AUUGAACGCUGGCGGCAGGCCUAACGCAUGCAAGUCGAGCGGAUGAAGGGAGCUUGCUCCUGGAUUCAGCGGCGGACGGGUGAGUAAUGCCUAGGAAUCUGCCUGGUAGUGGGGGAUAACGUCCGGAAACGGGCGCUAAUACCGCAUACGUCCUGAGGGAGAAAGUGGGGGAUCUUCGGACCUCACGCUAUCAGAUGAGCCUAGGUCGGAUUAGCUAGUUGGUGGGGUAAAGGCCUACCAAGGCGACGAUCCGUAACUGGUCUGAGAGGAUGAUCAGUCACACUGGAACUGAGACACGGUCCAGACUCCUACGGGAGGCAGCAGUUGGGAAUAUUGGACAAUGGGCGAAAGCCUGAUCCAGCCAUGCCGCGUGUGUGAAGAAGGUCUUCGGAUUGUAAAACACUUUAAGUUGGGAGGAAGGGCAGUAAGUUAAUACCUUGCUGUUUUGACGGUACCAACAGAAUAAGCACCGGCUAACUUCGUG
rnacentral:rRNA from 1 species